rnacentral:rRNA from 1 species
UACGUAGGGGGCGAGCGUUGUCCGGAAUGACUGGGCGUAAAGGGCGUGUAGGCGGCCGACUAAGUCUGGAGUGAAAGUCCCGGAUUCAAUUUGGGAAUUGCUUUGGAUACUGGUCGGCUUGAGUGCGGAAGAGGUAAGUGGAAUUCCCAGUGUAGCGGUGAAAUGCGUAGAGGUUGGGAGGAACACCAGUGGCGAAGGCGACUUACUGGGCCGUAACCGACGCUGAGGCGCGAAAGCGUGGGAAGCGAAC